GAUGAACGCUGGCGGCGUGCCUAAUACAUGCAAGUCGAGCGAACAGACGAGGAGCUUGCUCCUCUGACGUUAGCGGCGGACGGGUGAGUAACACGUGGAUAACCUACCUAUAAGACUGGGAUAACUUCGGGAAACCGGAGCUAAUACCGGAUAAUAUAUUGAACCGCAUGGUUCAAUAGUGAAAGACGGUUUUGCUGUCACUUAUAGAUGGAUCCGCGCCGCAUUAGCUAGUUGGUAAGGUAACGGCUUACCAAGGCAACGAUGCGUAGCCGACCUGAGAGGGUGAUAGGCCACACUGGAAAUGGAACACGGUCAAGACUCCUAAGGGAGGCAGCAGUAGGGAAUCUUCCGCAAUGGGCGAAAGCCUGACGGAGCAACGCCGCGUGAGUGAUGAAGGUCUUCGGAUCGUAAAACUCUGUUAUUAGGGAAGAACAAAUGUGUAAGUAACUAUGCACGUCUUGACGGUACCUAAUCAGAAAGCCACGGCUAACUACGUG
rnacentral:rRNA from 1 species